CACCAAUAGUACAACAACAGGUAGUUCAGACACAAAGGCAAGCACAGAUGUUGUUGAUCCCCACUUUGAAAUAUCGACAUUGUACCGACAAAAUUUGAAUAAACUGGGCGUAUUUAACUUGACUCUUGAGUAGGUUCUGUCAGUUUUUCAUGGAUAUUGAACUCAAUGUAAACUAAGACUAAGUAUUUGUAUUAUCUAAGAUUAUUU